CAUNCNGCNUGAGGGAGGAGGCUCUUGGGUCGUAAACCUCUUUUCUCAGGGAAGAACAAAAUGACGGUACCUGAGGAAUAAGCAUCGGCUAACUCCGUGCCAGCAGCCGCGGUAAUACGGAGGAUGCAAGCGUUAUCCGGAAUGAUUGGGCGUAAAGCGUCCGCAGGUGGCUAUGUAAGUCUGCUGUUAAAGAGUCUAGCUCAACUAGAUAAGAGCAGUGGAAACUACAAGGCUAGAGUACGUUCGGGGCAGAGGGAAUUCCUGGUGUAGCGGUGAAAUGCGUAGAGAUCAGGAAGAACACCGGUGGCGAAGGCGCUCUGCUAGGCCGUAACUGACACUGAGGGACGAAAGCUAGGGGAGCGAAUGGGAUUAGAUACCCCAGUAGUCCUAGCCGUAAACGAUGGAUACUAGGCGUGGCUUGUAUCGACCCGAGCCGUGCCGUAGCUAACGCGUUAAGUAUCCCGCCUGGGGAGUACGCCGGCAACGGUGAAACUCAAAGGAAUUGACGGGGGCCCGCACAAGCGGUGGAGUAUGUGGUUUAAUUCGAUGCAACGCGAAGAACCUUACCAAGGCUUGACAUGUCGCGAAUCUUCUUGAAAGGGAAGAGUGCCUUCGGGAGCGCGAACACAGGUGGUGCAUGGCUGUCGUCAGCUCGUGUCGUGAGAUGUUGGGUUAAGUCCCGCAACGAGCGCAACCCUCGUUUUUAGUUGCCAGCAUUAAGUUGGGCACUCUAGAGAGACUGCCGGUGACAAACCGGAGGAAGGUGGGGAUGACGUCAAGUCAGCAUGCCCCUCACGCCUUGGGCUACACACGUACUACAAUGCUCCGGACAGAGGGCAGCAAGCAUGCGAAUGCAAGCAAAUCCCGGAAACCGGAGCUCAGUUCAGAUCGCAGGCUGCAACUCGCCUGCGUGAAGGAGGAAUCGCUAGUAAUUGCAGGUCAGCAUACUGCAGUGAAUUCGUUCCCGGGCCUCGUACACACCGCCCGUCACCCCAUGGAAGCUGGUAGUGCCCGAAGUCAUUACUCCAACCCUUCGGGGAGGAGGAUGCCUAAGGCAGGACUGGUGACUGGGGUGAAGUGGUAACAAGGUAGCCGUACCGGAANGUGCGGCCGGAUCACCUCCUUUUUAGGGAGNC
rnacentral:rRNA from 1 species